UGAAGUUAAAGGCUGUGGNUUAACCAUAGUACGCUAUGAAAACUGUUUAACUUGAGUGCAGAAGGGGAGAGUGGAAUNCCAUGUGUAGCGGUGAAAUGCGUAGAUAUAUGGAGGAACACCGGUGGCGAAAGCGGCUCUCUGGUCUGUAACUGACGCUGAGGCUCGAAAGCGUGGGGAGCGAACAGGAUUAGAUACCCUGGUAGUCCACGCCGUAAACGAUGAGUGCUAGGUGUUAGGCCCUUUCCGGGGCUUAGUGCCGCAGCUAACGCAUUAAGCACUCCGCCUGGGGAGUACGACCGCAAGGUUGAAACUCAAAGGAAUUGACGGGGGCCCGCACAAGCGGUGGAGCAUGUGGUUUAAUUCGAAGCAACGCGAAGAACCUUACCAGGUCUUGACAUCCCGAUGCCCGCUCUAGAGAUAGAGUUUUACUUCGGUACAUCGGUGACAGGUGGUGCAUGGUUGUCGUCAGCUCGUGUCGUGAGAUGUUGGGUUAAGUCCCGCAACGAGCGCAACCCUUAUUGUUAGUUGCCAUCAUUCAGUUGGGCACUCUAGCGAGACUGCCGGUAAUAAACCGGAGGAAGGUGGGGAUGACGUCAAAUCAUCAUGCCCCUUAUGACCUGGGCUACACACGUGCUACAAUGGCUGGUACAACGAGUCGCAAGUCGGUGACGGCAAGCUAAUCUCUUAAAGCCAGUCUCAGUUCGGAUUGUAGGCUGCAACUCGCCUACAUGAAGUCGGAAUCGCUAGUAAUCGCGGAUCGGCACGCCGCGGUGAAUACGUUCCCGGGCCUUGUACACACCGCCCGUCACACCACGAGAGUUUGUAACACCCGAAGUCGGUGAGGUAACCUUUUAGGANCCA
rnacentral:rRNA from 1 species